AAAUUGAAGAGUUUGAUCAUGGCUCAGAUUGAACGCUGGCGGCAGGCCUAACACAUGCAAGUCGAACGGUAGCACAGAGAGCUUGCUCUUGGGUGACGAGUGGCGGACGGGUGAGUAAUGUCUGGGAAACUGCCCGAUGGAGGGGGAUAACUACUGGAAACGGUAGCUAAUACCGCAUAACGUCGCAAGACCAAAGAGGGGGACCUUCGGGCCUCUUGCCAUCGGAUGUGCCCAGAUGGGAUUAGCUAGUAGGUGGGGUAACGGCUCACCUAGGCGACGAUCCCUAGCUGGUCUGAGAGGAUGACCAGCCACACUGGAACUGAGACACGGUCCAGACUCCUACGGGAGGCAGCAGUGGGGAAUAUUGCACAAUGGGCGCAAGCCUGAUGCAGCCAUGCCGCGUGUAUGAAGAAGGCCUUCGGGUUGUAAAGUACUUUCAGCGAGGAGGAAGGUGUUGAGGUUAAUAACCUCAGC
rnacentral:rRNA from 1 species